CUGCAAUGAAUAACAUUUUUUAUAGAGUAUGUUCUUUUAGUAAUAAAUGAUUUGAAAGAGGUAAUUUUUGAUUUGAUGUUCUCGUCCGUAUGUUUACAUACUAUGCAUUUGUUGAAUUUAAAGAAACCCUUUGGCUUGUUAGGAAAAAAGGGGGGACAGAGAGGAGAGGUAGUUUGAUUUUGUUUUGUAUAGUUCUUUGUGAGGAUGGAUUUAAAGCUAGGUGCCCCCCUAAAUAUAACGUGUGGCUUAUCGGGGAUAAUCCCAGCUAGAAUCUCAUCC